AUGCGGGUGCGGAUCGCGCUGCGUGAGCUAGGCGUGCCGUGCGAGUACGUCGAGGAGGACCUCCGCGUCCGCGAGAGGAGCGAUCUGGUGCGCCGCAUGAACCCUGUUCUCCACAUGGUACCCAUCUUGAUCCACCGCGGCCGUCCAGUCUGCGGCUCCGUCAACAUCGUCGAGUACAUCGACGAGGUCUGGGGUGAGGCCCGUUUGCUCCCCAGCAACCCAGUCGACAGGGCUCACGCUAGGUUCUGGGCUGACUUCGUUGACCACAAGGUGUUGGGCGCCCAAGUAAGGUUUCUCUAG
rnacentral:rRNA from 1 species